GCCUUCCGGAUGUGCUCAAUUCCAUUCAAUACACAGUAGGGUGGUGGUUUCUACCAGUGUCAAUUCAUUGAUCCUCCACGUG